rnacentral:lncRNA from 1 species
AUGUCAUGGGGACACAUCCAUGGGACACAUCCAUGGGGACAUCAUUUCAUGGGACACAUCCAUGGGGACGUUAAUUUGUGGGACACAUCCAUGGGGACAUCAUCCCGUGGGACACAUCCAUGGGGACAUCAUCUCAUGGGAUGCAUCAUCUUUGUGGGGACACAUCCGUGGGGAUGUCAACUUGUGGGACACAUCCAUGGGGGACACAUCCACGGGGACAUCGUCACCUUCCUGGGGACAUCUCAUCUUUCUGGGGACAUCAUCUUCUUGGGACCCAUCAUCUCCACAGGGACACGUUGUUCCUUUGGGGACACAACCAUGGGGCCAUCAUCUUGUGGGACGUGCCAUCCUUGUGGGGACACAUCCGUAGGGACGUCACCUCCAUGGGACGCGUCGUCCUUGUGGGGACAUCAUCUUCUUGGGACCCAUCACCUCCAUGGGGACAGAUUGUCUCCUUGGGGACACCAUCUCCGUGGGGACACCACCACGGGGACAGACAGUGUCCAUGGGGACACGCUGUGUGCACGGGGACACCUCACCUCCAUGGGGACACCCGAGUGGGGACACCUCACCUGCACGGGGACGUCUCUGCUGGGGACUGCCCAGCCCCCUCUACCAGAUGUGGGGUCCCCCCAUGCUCUGGGUGCACCACGGACCCCCAGGAGGGUUUGGGGUUCUCUGUGCUCUGCGGGAUUCAGGUUUUGGGGUGUCCCACACGCCCAAGGUGCAGCUCAGACCCCCACUUACCCGAUUUGGGACUGGGCUCUUCACUUUUUGAGGUGCCCCAUCCCUGGGUGCUUCACCUUUUGGGGUGCCCCUCACUCCCCGUGCCCCCCAGGGAUGACCUGCCAGGUGUGCAGCUCCUACCUGGCGGAUGAGGUGGGGUCAGGGAGAUUCAGGUACAGGGGUGCCCCCAGAUUCAGGAAUUGGGGUGCCCCAGAUUCAGGUACUGGGGUGCCCCUCACCCCUCCCAUGUUGGGGUCCCCCGUUCCCCCCAGGGAUGACCUGCCAGGUGUGCAGCUCCUACCUGGCGGACGAGGUGGGGUCAGGGAGAUUCAGGUACAGGGGUGCCCCCAGAUUCAGGAAUUGGGGUGCCCCAGAUUCAGGUACAGGGGUGCCCCCAGAUUCAGGGGGGGGGGGGGGGGGGGGGGGGGGGGGGGGGGGGGGGGGGGGGGGGGGGGGGGGGGGGGGGGGGGGG